GACGAACCGUGCGAACGUUGUUCGGAAUCACUGGGCUUAAAGGGCGCGUAGGCGGACCACCAAGUCCGGGGUGAAAUCCUCCGGCUUAACCGGAGAAUUGCCUGGGAUACUGGUGGUCUUGAGGGAGGUAGGGGCACGCGGAACUUCCGGUGGAGCGGUGAAAUGCGUUGAUAUCGGAAGGAACGCCGGUGGCGAAAGCGGCGUGCUGGCCCUCUUCUGACGCUGAGGCGCGAAAGCCAGGGGAGCAAACGGG
rnacentral:rRNA from 1 species